AGGGUUUGAUUAUGGCUCAGAUUGAACGUUGGCGGCAGGCCUUAUACAUGCAAGUCGAACGGUAACAGCGGAGCUUGCUCCGGCUGACGAGUGGCGGACGGGUGAGUAACGCGUAGGAAUCUACCCAGUAGCGGGGGAUAGCCCGAGGAAACUCGGAUUAAUACCGCAUACGCCCUAAGGGGGAAAGGCCGGGAUCUUCGGACCGGUCACUAUUGGAGGAGCCUGCGUUGGAUUAGCUAGUUGGUGAGGUAAAGGCUCACCAAGGCAACGAUCCAUAGCUGGUCUGAGAGGACGAUCAGCCACACUGGAACUGAGACACGGUCCAGACUCCUACGGGAGGCAGCAGUAGGGAAUCUUGUGCAAUGGGGGAAACCCUGACACAGCCAUGCCGCGUGUGUGAAGAAGGCCUUAGGGUUGUAAAGCACUUUCAGCAGGGAGGAAUUAGCACGGUUAAUACCCGUGAUCUGUGACGUUACCAACAGAAUAAGCACCGGCUAACUCCGUGCCAGCAGCCGCGGUAAUACGGAGGGUGCAAGCGUUAAUCGGAAUUACUGGGCGUAAAGCGCGCGUAGGUGGUUGUGUAAGUGGAAUGUGAAAGCCCUGGGCUCAACCUGGGAACUGCAUACCAAACUGCGCAACUAGAGUACGAUAGAGGGGGGUAGAAUUUCAGGUGUAGCGGUGAAAUGCGUAGAGAUCUGAAGGAAUACCGGUGGCGAAGGCGGCCCCCUGGAUUGAUACUGACACUGAGGUGCGAAAGCGUGGGUAGCAAACAGGAUUAGAUCCCCUGGUAGUCCACGCCGUAAACGAUGUCUACUAGCCGUUGGAAUCCUUAGAGGUUUUAGUGGCGCAGCUAACGCAAUAAGUAGACCGCCUGGGGAGUACGGUCGCAAGAUUAAAACUCAAAUGAAUUGACGGGGGCCCGCACAAGCGGUGGAGCAUGUGGUUUAAUUCGAUGCAACGCGAAAAACCUUACCAGGCCUUGACAUCCUGAGAACUUUCUAGAGAUAGAUUGGUGCCUUCGGGAACUCAGUGACAGGUGUUGCAUGGCUGUCGUCAGCUCGUGUCGUGAGAUGUUGGGUUAAGUCCCGUAACGAGCGCAACCCUUAUCCUUAUUUGCCAGCACUUCGGGUGGGAACUUUAAGGAGACUGCCGGUGACAAACCGGAGGAAGGAGAGGAUGAUGUCAAGUCAUCAUGGCCCUUACGGCCUGGGCUACACACGUGCUACAAUGGAAAGUACAGAGGGCCGCAAUACCGCGAGGUGGAGCAAAUCCCAAAAAACUUUUCGUAGUCCGGAUCGGAGUCUGCAACUCGACUCCGUGAAGUCGGAAUCGCUAGUAAUCGCGAAUCAGCAUGUCGCGGUGAAUACGUUCCCGGGCCUUGUACACACCGCCCGUCAUACCAUGGGAGUGGGUUGCACCAGAAGUGGCUAGUUUAACCUUCGGGAGAACGGUCACCACGGUGUGGUUCAUGACUGGGGUAAAGUCGUAACAAGGUAGCCG
rnacentral:rRNA from 1 species